rnacentral:rRNA from 1 species
UAAUUGAAGAGUUUGAUCAUGGCUCAGAUUGAACGCUGGCGGCAGGCCUAACACAUGCAAGUCGAGCGGUAACAGGGGAAGCUUGCUUCYCGCUGACGAGCGGCGGACGGGUGAGUAAUGUAUGGGGAUCUGCCCGAUAGAGGGGGAUAACUACUGGAAACGGUAGCUAAUACCGCAUAAUCUCUCAGGAGCAAAGCAGGGGAACUUCGGUCCUUGCGCUAUCGGAUGAACCCAUAUGGGA